UGUCAGAAUGAGACAUGCCGACUGGAUUAAACAAUCAGACCAGGGCCUGGACCUGCGGGUGUCCAUCAUACUAAGCCUGGGGAGAAGUGAGUGUCCCAACAAGAAGUCCAAGAACUUCCUGUAAGAGAAGAGGGGGAAAUGGAAGUGCAAAUGCCCCCUACCCAGCAGAAGCGUGAGACCCCCAGUCUUGGAGAGCCUGGGGACCAGCAAGCCGAGACCCGAAGAAUGACACGGAGUGAGCAGGGGAGCGCAGGGAGUGGGAGGUAUUCCAGGCCGAGAAGACAGCAUCUAUAAAGCUCUGGAGGUAAGAGGCAAGACGAAGAUGCUAGAACUGCUAGUAUUUCAGUGUGUCUGGAGCAGAGUGAGACGGGCAGUGACAAGAGGGGACUUUGGACUAGUGAGCAGAGGCACACAGGGGCUGGGAGGUCUCUGAUGAUGGAUGCGGAGUUUUUAUUUUCUAGACAGCUUAGCACAGGCUCGAGAUACACUCAUCUGGGACUGGAUUCAAACCCCAACCCUCCCUCGGUGGUUACAGGCAACCUUUCCAAGCGUCAGGUUUCUUUUUCCAAUGGUCUAAUCUAGACAAGCGACUAUUCACAUGUCACAGACUCGCUGGAGGAGCAUAUGACAGUGUAUGUAUGGCCCUGACACAUGAACAGUCUGGGUAAAAAACGGUUGUUAUCACUACCAUCAGCGCCUCUCUCCAGGCUGGCAUUCCUGCCCUCACAGACCAAACAGUAUCUCGGAAGCAUCAGCGAACACGUGUGGACAGAAGGUGCAGCACCCCCGUGAACCGGCCUCGCCCCACCACGGCCUCUCCUUCCAGCAGUCCCUCGGCUCCCCCCAGCCCUGCUCCACGGUGCCCGCCCCCAGCCCAAGGUGCUCACGACUGCCCACAAGAACCCAAACUCAGCCAUCGGAAGGCUGGGCCGCGGGGCUCCAGAGCCUCCAGAGAUGACUCUGCCCCACAGGAUGCCGGCUUCAUCUUCCACAGCCCGCAGGCAGUUCCAGGCACCCCUUCUUGCUGGCAAAAUGGGAGUUCACAGGCCAGAGGAGCCAUCAGUCCUAACACAGCACAAAGAAGGAAACACGACCAUGAGAGAACGGAGAAGGGCCACCCUAGGCAGCCAGCCAAAGGGGCAAGAGGUAAAAAGAGUGGAAGUGGCGCGCCGUCGAGAUUCCCCAAAAGAAAAUAGAAAACCAUCUUGGACAACCAGCUACAGCGCGUACCAACAAAUAAAAAGAAGACAUUCUGGAGUUCCCGCUGUGACACGGGGGGUUAGGACCCUGAUUACAGAUGCCUGGGUUGCUGUGGAGGCAUGGGUUGAAUUGCCGGCCCAGGGCAGUGGCUUAAAGGAUCUGUCACUGCCACAGGCGCAGCGUAGAUCACAGCUGUGGCUCAGAUUCAAUCCCUGGCUUGGGAACGUCCAUAGGCCACAGGUGUGGCCACCAAAAAAAAAAAAAAAAAAAAAAAGCUGCCCAAGAAUCCCCAAGAUCCCCAUUGCAGAACUGUUCAGGCCAUACACUGUUCUGGUGAAGAGUACAGCCUGGAGUCAGGGCGCCUGGAUGUGAACCCUGGUUCUGAUACUUAGCUGUAGAUGUUGGGCAAGUUACUUAGCUUUUUAGCGCUCCAGUUUCUUCAUCAGUAACGUAGGAAUAGUAACAGUACCCACCUGAUACAGUUGUCAUGCAUCACUUCUUCUCUCCAAGUUUAAAAAUACCUUUCAAAAGAAACAAGGAGGAAAUUAACUUGCUAAGAUUAUAUACCUUGUAGCAGUUAAAAAAAAAAAAUCCCCAGAGAAGUUAAAUCAUCCAAAAUGAGGUUGGGAGAGGGAAGACGUGGAGGGGAAGACACUGAUGAAAAAUUCUGGCUCCCAGUCCUUCAGAAGAGGGUGAACUGUUGAGGGAACAGCACUGUGAGGAGGAAACUAGCAAAACACAGAGGAGGAAAGACCAUUAUGAAAGAAUAUUCAAAGUACUUUUAGGAAAUUCUCUGGAGGGAAGUAGGAAGGCAAGCGUCCUAUCUCAUGGUGAGGCAGAAAGAGAACUGGAGAGCAAUCAGAGAAUGGAGUUUUAUUUCUAAAUCUGACACUGGUAUCACCUUGGUCAACUGACCGCACCUGCCUCAGCCUCAUUUUCCUUAAAAUUAUCUCCAUGCACUCUACUCUCUUCAGCUCUCAUAAUCUUUGAUUCUAGCAAUCAGUACUCCAGUUCAGGAGAUCUGAUACUCACGGGUCCUUCCAUGAAGACACAUGAAAGUCUAUAGCAGGCAAAGCCCCUCCAUCAAUGAGGCAAAUCAAGGGAAUCCUAGAAGGCUGGUUGUGGAAUUGGGUUCUGAGGGCUCUGCUCUCUAGGGAACAAUUUGGCUUAGUUGUCUCUUUCAAAGUCAUGGAAUCACAGGAUUGCCCAAACUGGAAAGUACCCUGCACCCUCAUUCUGCAGGUUCAGAAAAGUCAAAUGACCUGGCCAAGGUCAUCCAGCAGAAUAUGGCAGAGCCAGGACUAGAGCUUGCCCACUGCCUCUGCUGUCUGUAAAUGCAGGGGCUCAAGGGCUAGAACACAGCAAGUGUGCCCUUACAUAUGACUUUUAAUUGAACAGUGUCUUGGACACAAGCAGGGCUGGGGCUAGGGUAAGGUAAACGGGGCACUGGUGUCAGGAGCAAAAUUAAAGGCGGAGCAUAAAAAAACUCAGCAUUAAAACACAGUAUCUUUAAUGCACUACUAAAAAUUAAAAAUCCAUGAACAAAAUACACAAUAUAACAUUUUCAAAUAAAGACAGAAAUGGGGAGUUUCUGUCGUGGCUC
rnacentral:lncRNA from 1 species